GCGAAGGUGGCGGAAUUGGUAGACGCGCUAGCUUCAGGUGUUAGUGUCCUUACGGACGUGGGGGGUGAAAUACACCCCCACGCACCC
rnacentral:tRNA from 1 species